AAAUCCGAAAAAAAAUAUCGAGCAUGUCUCGAAUGGAAGAAAAAAAAUCGAACAUCACUAACACCAGCAAAAAAAAAUAUCGAGCACAAAAAAAUUCUAAAUUAGCAAUACUCUAUAUUGAAAGAAAAAUUCAGUUUCCCUUAGUUUUUUUUUCUGUUGAGUGUUUCGGUUCUGCCUUGGUUAACAAUACCGGAAGUAUACAUGCAAAAUACAAACCGAUACAAACCAGUUCUGACAACUUUGACUUCAAUAAUUCAAUUAUCCACAAAUUACCUUAAUGGUAUCCCUAAAAACCCCAAUCUUAACACUGAAAGUCCCACACUUCUGUAAAUUCGACAUCGAUUAAUGAGGGUGGGAAAGGGGGGGGGGGGUAUGAUUCACGUUUCACAACAAAAAAAUACCGUUUCACAAUUCACGUGCCAUAAAAAAGCAAUUUCACAUUUCACGGAUAACGAGACUCUAAUAAAAAUAAUAUAAUAAUAAUAGCUUUAAGAUUAUGUUUAAUGCAUGGUACAGUACUACGCUUUAAGUUCUCUUCUCUGCCUGGCAGUUAAAAACUACUUACAAAUUUGAGUGAUGAGUACGUCCGACGAUCUCCGAAAGGCC